rnacentral:tRNA from 1 species
GGAGAGGUGGUAGAGUGGUCGAUUACGGCAGUCUUGAAAACUGUUGAACGGCGACGUUCCGGGGGUUCGAAUCCCUCCCCCUCCGCCA